CCUACGGGUGGCAGCAGUGGGGAAUAUUGCACAAUGGGGGAAACCCUGAUGCCGCGACGCCGCGUGAGUGAAGAAGUAUUUCGGUAUGUAACGCUCUAUCUGCAGGGAAGAAAAUGACGGACCCUGACUACGAAGCCCCGGCUAACUACGGGCGAGCAGCCGCGGUAAUACGUAGGGGGCAAGCGUUAUCCGGAUUUACUGGGUGUAAAGGGCGCGUAGACGGCCAGACAAGUCAGAAGGGAAAGCCCAGGGCUCAACCCUGGGACUGCUUGUGAAACUGCCGGGCUGGAGUGCAGGAGAGGGAAGCGGAAUUCCUAGUGUAGCGGUGAAAUGCGUAGAUAUUAGGAGGAACACCAGUGGCGAAGGCGGCUUACUGGACUGUAACUGACGUUGAGGCUCGAAAGCGUGGGGAGCAAACAGGAUUAGAUACCCUUGUAGUC
rnacentral:rRNA from 1 species